rnacentral:rRNA from 1 species
UAUCUCUGUAGAGUCUGCAUAUCAAUAAGCGGAGGAAAAGAAACUAACAAGGAUUCCCUUAGUAACGGCGAGUGAAGCGGGAAGAGCUCAAAUUUGAAAUCUUCAAGGUUCUACCUUGACGAAUUGUAGUUUAAAGAAGUGUUUUCUGUUAGAUGAGUAGCAAAAGUUCCUUGGAAUGGGACAUCAUAGAGGGUGAGAAUCCCGUAUUUGGUUAUUCAUUCUAGCUUUGUGAUACACUUUCAAAGAGUCGGAUUGUUUGGGAAUGCAGUCCAAAAUGGGUGGUAAAUUUCAUCUAAAGCUAAAUAUUGGCGAGAGACCGAUAGCGAACAAGUACCGUGAGGGAAAGAUGAAAAGAACUUUGAAAAGAGAGUUAAACAGUACGUGAAAUUGUCAAAAGGGAAGCGUUUGACACCAGUGUUGUUUUUCCGAAAAUCAAUUACGAAUGGCUUGAUUUUGUGUUGUAUUGACCUUAUCAGCUUUCUUCACUUUUUUCGAGUCUUUCUUAAUGCACUUUUUGGUUAACAAGUCAACAUCAAUUUCUUUUGUUGUAAAAGAGUAUUCGGAAGGUGGCUUUCUUUUCGGAGAAAGUGUUUAUAGCCCUAUACUUCUACAAUCGGAGAGAUUGAGGUCUGCAGCGUAGAUCCUUCGGGGUUAGAUACACUUGUGCUAAGUUGUAGCUUUUCAUAGACAACUUGUUGACUAUGUUUAGUCAUGCGGCUUACUCGCUUGUGCUAUUUUACCUACGCUUAGGAUGUUGACUGAUAUGUAGUCGUA